CCCUUAGAUGUUCUGGGCCGCACGCGCGCUACACUGAUGCAUUCAACGAGUUUCUUCCUGGUCCGAGAGGACUGGGUAACCUUUUGAAAGUGCAUCGUGAUAGGGAUAGACUAUUGCAAUUAUUGGUCUUCAACGAGGAAUUCCUAGUAGACGUAGUUCAUCAGACUGCAUCGAUUACGUCCCUGCCCUUUGUACACACCGCCCGUCGCUCCUACCGAUUGAAUGCUCAGGUGAGCCAUUCGGACUUUCAUCAUGCUGGUUUCCAGUUUUGAUGAAGGAAAGUCUUGCGAACCUUAUCAUUUAGAGGAAGGAGAAGUCGUAACA
rnacentral:rRNA from 1 species